rnacentral:lncRNA from 1 species
AUACCAAGGAGCAUGAUUGCUGGAGCGUAUGGAAGAUUUGCUCUGAGCUAACAUCUGUUGCCGGUUUUCCUCUUCUUUUGUGUGUGAGCCACCGCCACAGCAUGGCCACUGACAGGUCCUUCUAGUUGUGGCAUGUGGGAUGCCUCCUCAGCAUGGCCUGACGAGCGGUGCCAUGUCUGUGCCUGGGAUCUGAACCAGCAAAACCCUGGGCUGCUGAAGUGGAGCAUGCAAACUUAACCACUCGGCCACGGAGCUGGCCCCACGAAAACUGGCCCUGAGCUAACAUCCACACCCAUCUUCCUCUGCUUUAUAUGUGGGACACCUACCACGGCAUGGCUUUUGCCAAGCGGUGCCAUGUCCACACCUGGGAUCUGAACCGGCAAACCCUGGGCUGCCGAAGCAGAACAUGUA